rnacentral:rRNA from 1 species
AACGAACGCUGGCGGCAUGCCUAACACAUGCAAGUCGAACGAGACCUUCGGGUCUAGUGGCGCAUGGGUGCGUAACGCGUGGGAACCUGCCCUUAGGUUCGGAAUAACUCCCCGACGGAGGUGCUAAUACCGGAUAAUGUCUUCGGACCAAAGAUUUAUCGCCUUUGGAUGGGCCCGCGUUGGAUUAGCUGGUUGGUAGGGUAAAAGCCUACCAAGGCGACGAUCCAUAGCUGGUCUGAGAGGAUGAUCAGCCACACUGGGACUGAGACACGGCCCAGACUCCUACGGGAGGCAGCAGUGGGGAAUAUUGGACAAUGGGCGAAAGCCUGAACCAGCAAUGCCUCGUGAGUGAUGAAGGCCUUAGGGUUGUAAAGCACUUUUACCCGGGAUGAUAAUGACAGUACCGGGAGAAUAAGCUCCGGCUAACUCCGUG